AUCCAGAUGCCGAGCCCCAAAUAGGACGAAAUGCACAUCCUGGAU
rnacentral:hammerhead_ribozyme from 1 species